rnacentral:rRNA from 1 species
AGCCUAUAAUGCAGUCGAGCGAACAGAUAAGGAGCUUGCUCCUUUGACGUUAGCGGCGGACGGGUGAGUAACACGUGGGUAACCUACCUAUAAGACUGGGAUAACUUCGGGAAACCGGAGCUAAUACCGGAUAACAUUUGGAACCGCAUGGUUCUAAAGUGAAAGAUGGUUUUGCUAUCACUUAUAGAUGGACCCGCGCCGUAUUAGCUAGUUGGUAAGGUAACGGCUUACCAAGGCGACGAUACGUAGCCGACCUGAGAGGGUGAUCGGCCACACUGGAACUGAGACACGGUCCAGACUCCUACGGGAGGCAGCAGUAGGGAAUCUUCCGCAAUGGGCGAAAGCCUGACGGAGCAACGCCGCGUGAGUGAUGAAGGGUUUCGGCUCGUAAAACUCUGUUAUUAGGGAAGAACAAAUGUGUAAGUAACUGUGCACGUCUUGACGGUACCUAAUCAGAAAGCCACGGCUAACUACGUGCCAGCAGCCGCGGUAAUACGUAGGUGGCAAGCGUUAUCCGGAAUUAUUGGGCGUAAAGCGCGCGUAGGCGGUUUCUUAAGUCUGAUGUGAAAGCCCACGGCUCAACCGUGGAGGGUCAUUGGAAACUGGGAAACUUGAGUGCAGAAGAGGAAAGUGGAAUUCCAUGUGUAGCGGUGAAAUGCGCAGAGAUAUGGAGGAACACCAGUGGCGAAGGCGACUUUCUGGUCUGUAACUGACGCUGAUGUG